GGCCAUUUUGAGCGUGGCUGGGAAGAGAAGUGUAUUCGGAUGCUGCAAGGGACCUCGACGCGGGUUCCUUGCCUCAGCAGAGGUUUUCGAUCGGCCUUAUGUCCCGCGGCUGGCAGGACACUUAGAGCUCACUUGCUGUUUUCGUUGAAAGACCGACCCUUUUGAUAAAGACUGCUGGGGAAGGCGACGAAUUCCUUUCCCCAGGUCGCAUUCUAUGGGCAGGCACCAAGGCCAAUUGCGUUUCCCACAAAGCCCCGCACGGAGCAGGUGACACAGUAGAUGCCUAACGUGUGUCCAUGUAAUGAACCAGGGGCUUGUGUACUUGUUUCCGCCUUCCACCCUGCAUUACGCAAAAACGUAUCCUGUGGGCUGGCGGGGCUGCUCCGGAGCUCCAGGCCCAGACCCAGCGUCCAACUGCAGCUCCAGGGGACGGGGUGGGGGGCGCCCCUGGAUCAACUUCCCUGCGGGGCUGGAUGUUGUGGUUGCAGACCCAGCUCCUGCAAAACCUCGAGUUACUCCUUCCUCUAACCCGUCCCUGCCCACCCUGCCUCUGGCCCCCAGCCUUGAGAAAGGACAAGGCCGACCAGCUUGGUUCAGUCCUUCUGUGGCCUCAGUGUCCAGACACCCGGAAGAUAGACAAGGAGGCAUGUGCUGGUAGAUGAGAAGGUUUGGGGCGGGCAGGGGGGACACCAAGCUUUUUUUUUCCUUUCUUUUCUUUUGAGAGAGAGUCUCACUCUGUCGCCCAGGCUGGAGUGCAAGUGGCACGAUCUUGGCUCAUUGCAGUCUCUGCCUCCCGGGUUCAAGUGAUUCUCGUGCCUCAGCGUCCCGAGUAGCUGGGAUUACAGGCGGCUGCCAACACGCCCGGCUAAUUUUUUUGUAUUAUUAGUAGAGACAGGGUUUCGCCAUGUUGCCCAGGCUAGUCUCGAACUCCUGACCUCAAGUGAUCCACCCGCCUUGGCCUUCCAAAGUCCUGAGAUUACAGGCGUGAGCCCCUGCUCCCGGCCUAAGGAGAGAAGGAGAGAAGGAAGAACCCAAGCUCUAGGGUUCCCAAGCGCUCACUCCACCCAUAGUCACCCGAAGAGGAGGAGGAGGAGGAAGUGGGUGCACAGAGCCUGGAGAGGGAUGGGCAGCCUUCCCUCAGGCAAGAGGACAAUUUCAAUCCUGUUGUAGGUGGGGGAGAUAAAAGGCUGAUUCCUGUGUCAGGAAAUACCCAGGAUGAUUUCGCUGACAUGGUCCUUGUGUAGUCCAAAGGGCUAAGUAGGAGAAAGUUUAAACUGUUAGAUGUCACAGAAUAGAGUAGCGGGGCUAGUUAGCCGCUGUAGAGAGGGUGUUUUGGGCUCAGGUGGACUACCUUUGAGGGCCUGGUCCAGCAUUUAACCUGAGUCUCUCUCUCUC
rnacentral:lncRNA from 1 species